CCUACGGGAGGCAGCAGUCGAGAAUCAUUCACAAUGGGGGAAACCCUGAUGGUGCGACGCCGCGUGGGGGAAUGAAGGUCUUCGGAUUGUAAACCCCUGUCAUGUGGGAGCAAAUUAAAAAGAUAGUACCACAAGAGGAAGAGACGGCUAACUCGGUGCCAGCAGCCGCGGUAAUACAGAGGUCUCAAGCGUUGUUCGGAAUCACUGGGCGUAAGGCGUGCGGAGGCUGUUUCGUAAGUCGUGUGUGAAAGGCGCGGGCUCAACCCGCGGACGGCACAUGAUACUGCGAGACUAGAGUAAUGGAGGGGGAACCGGAAUGCUCGGUGUAGCAGUGAAAUGCGUAGAUAUCGAGAGGAACACUCGUGGCGAAGGCGGGUUCCUGGACAUUAACUGACGCUGAGGCACGAAGGCCAGGGGAGCGAAAGGGAUUAGAUACCCGAGUAGUC
rnacentral:rRNA from 1 species